rnacentral:lncRNA from 1 species
AGCCAUCAGACCUGAAAAAGCCUAAACUUAGUUCACCUUUGUGAAACAUGUUCUCUUACAAGCCAAAAACCAGAGCUAAGAACGAGAAGUGCAGGAAAAGACAGAGGCAUGAGAUAGCAGGCGAUGAUGCUACGCUACUCUAGUACCCCCUCCGUCCGAAAAAACUUGCCCCUCAAAUGGUGGUGCUAUAUACAUCCAUUUGAGGAACAAGCUUGGGACAAGUUUUUCCGGACGGAGGGAUUAGUAGCAACAGAAUGGGCGAAAAACGCCAGCUUAGUUCCUUUCAGUAACCAAGGGGGUCAAAUGCUUAGCAAGGACGAAAUGAACGCCACCCCACCGAUUUGCUUGGCAGUGUACCUGAUGGCAGGCGAACAUCAUCCGAGCUUCUCCAGUUCCCUUUCCUUUGGCAUUCAACUUGUUUCUUGUGCUUGCAACAAACCCAGAGCAGGAGCCAGAUCUCCGGUCGCGGUUCAUGGUCAAAGCUUCCACGCCACUUCAAUUAACCCCUUCCCUGAUAAUGCGCUUUCAUCAAAGAGAUAAAGCAGGGAUGUCUUUCAGGCUGCGGUAGCUCCGACAUCAUCCCACAUCUGAGGAAUAUGUGGCAGCCAUCCUCUGUUGAAGCAAACUGCGCACCCUGUGUCCAGAUCCACGGUUCUCCUUACAAAAACUUGUCCUCGAAGCAGGCUGCC